rnacentral:piRNA from 1 species
UACCUAGCAACAACAAGAAAAGCCCACCAU